rfam:Myotis lucifugus cont2.36617, whole genome shotgun sequence.
GGCAGUUCUCUGGUGACACAUCCUGGAAUUGGGCUCCCUCCUUUCUGGUUCCGGGGUGCAUCACCUGAGAACUGCU